UNAAAAAGAUAGGAGUUGAACCUAUGUCUAAGGGAUCAAACCGCC
rnacentral:tRNA from 1 species